UAAAAAGACGGUCUCAGUUCGGAUUGAAGGCUGAAAUUCGCCUUCAUGAAGCUGGAAUUGCUAGUAAUGGCAGGUCAGCAUACUGCCGUGAAUACGUUCCCGGGCCUUGUACACACCGCCCGUCACACCAUGAGAGUUGGAAAUACCCGAAGCCUGUGAGCUAACUGUAAAGAGGCAGCAGUCGAAGGUAGAGCCAAUGAUUGGGGUGAAGUCGUAACAAGGUACC
rnacentral:rRNA from 1 species